rnacentral:rRNA from 1 species
CAGCAGCCGCGGUAAUACAGAGGGUGCGAGCGUUAAUUGGAUUUACUGGGCGUAAAGCGUGCGUAGGCGGCUUCUUAAGUCGGAUGUGAAAUCCCUGAGCUUAACUUAGGAAUUGCAUUCGAUACUGGGAAGCUAGAGUAUGGGAGAGGAUGGUAGAAUUCCAGGUGUAGCGGUGAAAUGCGUAGAGAUCUGGAGGAAUACCGAUGGCGAAGGCAGCCAUCUGGCCUAAUACUGACGCUGAGGUACGAAAGCAUGGGGAGCAAACAGGAUUAGAUACCCCGGUAGUCCCUGUCUCUUAUAC